GCCUGGGUAGCUUAGUGGCAGAGCACCUCCUUGGUAAGGAGGAGGUCAUGGGUUCGAUUCCCAUUCCAGGCU
rnacentral:tRNA from 1 species